GUGAGGAAUAUUGGUCAAUGGACGGAAGUCUGAACCAGCCAUGCCGCGUGCAGGAAUAAGGUCCUAUGGAUUGUAAACUGCUUUUAUUCGGGAAUAAACCUCUUUACGUGUAGGGAGCUGAAGGUACCGAAGGAAUAAGCACCGGCUAACUCCGUGCCAGCAGCCGCGGUAAUACGGAGGGUGCAAGCGUUAUCCGGAAUCAUUGGGUUUAAAGGGUCCGCAGGCGGGCUAUCAAGUCAGAGGUGAAAUCCCUCAGCUUAACUGUGGAACUGCCUUUGAAACUGAUGGUCUUGAAUUAAGUGGGCGUUGGCGGAAUAUGACAUGUAGCGGUGAAAUGCAUAGAUAUGUCAUGGAACACCGAAAGCGAAGGCAGCUAACGAUACUUAUAUUGACGCUCAUGGACGAAAGCGUGGGUAGCGAACAGGAUUAGAUACCCCGGUAGUCC
rnacentral:rRNA from 1 species